GACGAACGCUGGCGGCGUGGAUUAGGCAUGCAAGUCGAACGGUAUCAUCCUUUCGGGGAUGAGAGAGUGGCGAACGGGUGAGUAACACGUAGGUGAUCUACCCUCAAGACGGGGACAACCCAGGGAAACUUGGGCUAAUACCGGAUGUGAGCUAUCGCGAGAUAGUUUGAAAGGUGGCUUCGGCUGCCGCUUGGGGAUGAGCCUGCGUCCUAUUAGCUAGUUGGUGAGGUAACGGCUCACCGAGGCAGUGAUAGGUAGGCGGCCUUAACGGGUGGUCGCCCACACUGGGAUUGAGAUACGGCCCAGACUCCUACGGGAGGCAGCAGUCGAGAAUAGUCUACAAUGGUCGAAAGACUGAUAGUGCGACGCCGCGUGAACGAAGAAGCCCUUCGGGUGUAAAGUUCUUUUAUAUGUGAGCAGUGACAUCUAUAUUAAUAGUAUGGUGUAGAGAUAUUAGCAUAUGAAUAAGCAACGGCUAACUCCGUGCC
rnacentral:rRNA from 1 species